CUUUCUCUGCAAUAUCUAGCAAUAGUGAUCCCCCCAGUAAAGAUGCCAAAGAUGACACAAGUAAAAAGUGCCCAAUAUGCCAAGUUACGUACCCUCCUGAUUAUAUUGAGAUUCAUGCCAGUGCUUGUUGAGAAAGCUUUACAGCCAGUGUCCUGAAUGGGAUUUGUCAGACAUUGAGACAGUGGAUGUUGACACUGCGGAAGAAGCUGGUCCAUCAGGCAUAGCUUCCCAGACCACUAACUACCAAAAUCUGCCAACUAUGCUUUACUAAUGAAGCAAAGGAAUGGAAAAUUGUGCCCGGCCCCAUAAAGGCAGCUGAAUUGUUCAGGCAGUCUGUACUUAAAGUUCAUGCAUCUAAAAAAAACAUUGUACUUGCAUAUUGACCUUACAAGCAGUAUCUCAGACCAAGAAGCAACUCUCAUCGCUUUUUACAAAGCAUGUAAUGUGAAAUGGGCAUGUCCUCUGAAAACCAGGCUUGAAGGGGACCCUGCUGUUGGAGAGGGUGUAAACCGCUUCUUAUUUUCAAUGAUUACACAGAAACUGAAAUGUGGUUUUCACCUUAAUUUUGGAAAUGCCAACAUUACACGGAUUUUUGAUGGAGAGCCAGAUCACUCUGAACCAACACCUGAAGAGAAGGAGAGCAUUAAUGAUUUGUGCUUUUCGUGGGACCUUCCUACAAUGAACAGUGCUAAUCGACGAUGGCUCUAUGAGAGGCUUCUACAUCAUGCGGUAAUCGGACGAACUAUGAGGCAAAUCAAGCAACUACGAAAAGGAUUGAAGGAGACCAUGCUGUGGCCACUAAUUUGUCAGCGUCCAGAUGUGGUUCCACUUAUUUUUCCACGUGAAAAAAAAUGAUGUGUUGACCUCAGAGUUUUUCCUAAACUGCAUCAUCUGGCCUUCCAAUGACGGGGACAAUGACGAGGACGAUGAUGAAUGCUCUUUGGAAGAUAAGAGUCGGGUUGCUGGUAUAUAUAAAUAUAUUCAAAUAUAUAUUUAAAGUGUCAUUAAUGUAAAGUUUCAACCUAUAUUCUAACCAUAUUUUGACAGUUUAUAUAAAUAACCAAUGACAAGCAGACCAGAAGUUACAGUAAUAGAGAUUCCUCUGAAUGUUACAUUUAUUUUAUGACAUAUACAAACAUAUGUAAAUUUACAUUCAUUUAAUUGCCGAUAUGUUAUCAGAUGAUAAGUCAUUAUCUUAACUCUAUAAAUGCAAAGUGAGUGAUUUUACUUAA